ensembl:lncRNA
CAACGCUGCCUUCAAGUGUGGCACUGUUGGGAUGGGCUGUUGCAUUCGGGUGUCGCAUUGGGAUCGGGUGUCGCAUUCAGGUGUUGUUGCAUGGGGAUCCAAUGUUACGCUCUUGGGAUGGGGUGUUGUUUCGGGAUCCGACGCUGCCUUCAAGAGUCGCACUGUUGGGAUCGGGUGUUGCGUUCGGGUUUUGCUGUUGGGAUGGGGCGUUGUGUCGGGAUCCGAUGCCGCCUUCAAGUGUCGCGCUGUUGGGAUGGGGUGUUGCUGCUGGGAUCCGAUGUUACACUGUUGGGAUGGGGUGUUGCGUUGGGAUCCAACGCUGCCUUCAAGAGUCACGCUGUUGGGAUGGGCUGUUGUGUUUGGGUGUUGCAUUGGGAUCGGGUGUUGCUGUGUCGGAAUCUGGUGUUAUGCUGUUGGGAUGGGGUGUUGUGUCGGGAUCCGACGCCGCCUUCAAGAGUCGCGCUGUUGGGAUGGGGUGUUGCUGUUGGGAUCUGAUGUUACGCUGUUGGGAUGGGGUGUUGUGUUGGGAUCCGAUGCUGCCUUCAAGUGUCGCGCUGUUGGGAUGGGCUGUUGCAUUCGGGUGUUGCUGUGUUGGGAUCUGAUGUUACGCUGUUGGGAUGGGGCGUUGUGUUGGGAUCCGAUGCCGCCUUCAAGCGUCGCGCUGUUGGGAUGGGGUGUUGCUGCUGGGAUCCGAUGUGACGCUGUUGGGAUGGGGCGUUGUGUCGGGAUCCAACGCUGCCUUCAAGUGUGGCACUGUUGGGAUGGGGUGUUGCGUUCGGGUGUCACAUCAGGAUUGGGUGUCGCAUUCGGGUGUUGUUGCAUCGGGAUCUGAUGUGACGCUGUUGGGAUGGGGUGUUGCGUCGGGAUCCAACACUGCCUUCAAGAGUCACACUGUUGGGAUCGGGUGUUGCGUUCGGGUUUUGCUGUUGGGAUGGGGUGUUGUGUCGGGAUCCGACGCCGCCUUCAAGAGUCGCACUGUUGGGAUGGGGUGUUGCGUUCGGGUGUUGCUGUCGGGAUCCAAUGUUACACUGUUGGGAUGGGGCGUUGCGUUGGGAUCCAACGCUGCCUUCAAGUGUCGCGCUGUUGGGAUGGGGUGUUGCUGUGUUGGGAUGCGAUGUGACGCUGUUGGGAUGGGGCGUUGCGUUGGGAUCCGAUGCUGCCUUCAAGAGUCGCGCUGUUGGGAUGGGCUGUUGCGUUCGGGUGUCUCCUCGGGAUGGGGUGUCGCGUUCGGGUGUCGUCGCGUCGGGUUGCGCUGUCCGGGGGCGUCGGGUCACCAGGACCCGGCGUCAACGUUCGGGUGUCGCGUCGCCGGGCUCCCGCCUGACGUUAGCGCCGCGUGCGGGUGUCGGGGCGGNUGUGAUGGGGAGCAGGAGCGGGUGUCGCGUUGUUCGGAUCCCGUCUUGCGUUCGGGUGUUGCGUCGCGAUCCCACGUUGUGUUCGGGUGUUGCGUCGCGAUCCCAUGUUGUGUUCAGGUGUUGUGUUGUUGUGAUCCCACGUUGUGUUCGGGUGUUGCGUCAGGAUCCCAUGUUGUGUUCGGGUGUUGUGUUGUUGUGAUCCCACGUUGUGUUCGGGUGUUGUGUUGUUGUGAUCCCACGUUGUGUUCGGGUGUUGCGUCAGGAUCCCAUGUUGAGUUCGGGUGUUGUGUUGUUGCGAUCCCACGUUGUGUUCAGGUGUUGCGUUGCGAUCCCACGUUGUGUUCGGGUGUUGCGAUCCCACGUUGUGUUCGGGUGUUGUGUUGUUGUGAUCCCACGUUGUGUUCGGGUGUUGCGUCAGGAUCCCAUGUUG